UUUUAUGGUGGCUAUGUGCGGGCGGACUUCGGUCCGGCCGGAGGUUUGCUGGUCUUUGCCCGGUUUCUCACCCCGCACAUAGCUGCCACCCAA
rnacentral:antisense_RNA from 1 species